ACCCACGACUACGAUGUGAAGAUGCGCAACGUGGUCAAGUUCCUCGAACAGGGGGACAAGGUGAAGGUGACGCUGCGCUUCCGCGGUCGCGAGAUGGCGCACCAGAACCUCGGGCGCGAAUUGCUCGAGCGGGUGGCCAGCGACGUGAAGGAACUGGGCAAGGUCGAAAACAUGCCCAAGAUGGAAGGCCGCCAGAUGGUCAUGAUGAUCGGGCCGACGAUCAAGUAAACGAUGGAGCGCGCGCCGACCUCUUCCCACGCGGCGCGCUAUUCCCCCGACAACUCCGACAGUCAUGCCGACGGCCGCCUUGUGGCGGA
rnacentral:misc_RNA from 1 species